GGGAGACUGAGGACCAGGGAGUGCAAAGCCACAUACCCAAGAUUCUGAGGUUUGAGAGCCCUGAUUCUGGUGCAUUGGAUGAGCAGAGUCAGAUAGUCCGAGAUCCUCACAGCCUCUGUCACGACCUCCUGAAUGACUCUGGCCAAAGUCACUCCUUUUGUCUAAGCCUGGUUUUUCCAUCUGUAAAAGGAUAGGCACAGCCAGUCAAGAGAGGUCCCAUCUGCCUCCACUGAAUAUUAAACUGAUGUAUGGAAAGAGCGGGCAGGCUGGCUGGCCCACAAAUCUGCAGGUGGACGAGACCACACAAAGACCCAUAUGUUAGCACUCUGCUGGCACUGUUUUACCACCCAGAGUAAAGUCCUAUCUGCACUGGGGUCAUCGGUGAGAACAGCGAGGGCAAUGCUUAACCCCCAAAACCAUCAGCUGAUCGCUCAAGCUGGUAAGAAACAGCGAUGGGAGACUGAGGUGUGCCCAGCAAAGCCAGCUGCCAGACCCGGGCUUCCUGAAAGGAGAGAAAAGGCACCCGCAGAGAUUACCAGAGAAUCAGUCACCUGAAAGACACACUUUGAUGGCUUAGAAGGGCCGAUUGUAUCAAAAAACACUCUCGGUGAAUCAAAAAUAA